rnacentral:rRNA from 1 species
CGGUACAUCGGUGACAGGUGGUGCAUGGUUGUCGUCAGCUCGUGUCGUGAGAUGUUGGGUUAAGUCCCGCAACGAGCGCAACCCUAUUGUUAGUUGCCAUCAUUCAGUUGGGCACUCUAGCGAGAUUGCCGGUAAUAAACCGGAGGAAGGUGGGGAUGACGUCAAAUCAUCAUGCCCCUUAUGACCUGGGCUACACACGUGCUACAAUGGUUGGUACAACGAGUUGCGAGUCGGUGACGGCGAGCUAAUCUCUUAAAGCCAAUCUCAGUUCGGAUUGUAGGCUGCAACUCGCCUACAUGAAGUCGGAAUCGCUAGUAAUCGCGGAUCAGCACGCCGCGGUGAAUACGUUCCCGGGCCUU